rnacentral:misc_RNA from 1 species
UCAAACUUGGUCAUUUAGAGGAAGUAAAAGUCGUAACAAGGUUUCCGUAGGUGAACCUGCGGAAGGAUCAUUAACGUAUCUCUGACGGGGAGGGCGUGUCCCCGCUCCGGACCGAAAGGCCGUGCAGCGGGUGUGCCCGAUCCGCUCAACCUUUACAAACCCACUGUGCACCUUUACGGUGGAGGGUGUCGGUGAGAACCGCGCCCGAAGCCGGAUCACAAACACAAGUUCAAAAGAAUGACAUGCGGACUCUGUGCCGCCUAACAAACUUAACAACUUUCAACAACGGAUCUCUUGGCUCUCGCAUCGAUGAAGAACGCAGC